AGUGAAAGUAUCUAUGGUGGAUGAAGAGAAAUAGCUAGAAAUAGAGUCUACAGUGGCGGUUUCUCCAUUAGGGCGAUUGGGCGAUGCACCACCAAAGCGCGAAAAAGCAGAAGAGGCACCUUCAGCACCAUGGAGAGCACCCCACUCUCAGGCUCUGCCAUUAUUGAUGGUACUGGAAGGCAGCUCUAACUGGAGGUGAUCAGGACCAUGGAGAGUUCCCUGUUAAGACAGGUCCCUGAAGCCAAAGUCUGAUGGACCCAACUUUUCUACCAGGAUACUACCAGUGUAAUCUGCUGCCCUGCGGGAAUCACCAAGGAUCGGCACUCUCACCCUUUCUAUUCAUCUUAUGCAUGGAC
ensembl:lncRNA